AAGUUGUUCCAAUUUGGACUUUUCGAUCCGCCAUGUUGGAUCACCGCUGGACUGCCGUCUCAUUCUAACAAUACUCGGCAGACGUUACAUGAAAAACACGUGUACAUUUUAAACCCACAUUCAACUUCCACAUCUGCGCAUGUGCGACCACAAACCGCCCCUGGAGGACGCGGAUUUGCUCUAUCUCCUGGCUGUCUGCGUAUCCAAGGCUCUACGUUUUCAAUACAUGCUAAGUUCCAACGCGUUACCAGCAUCCCACUGGAAUCUACCUUCAUGGCACAGUUGGACAGCCAUUUAGCCCAAUUGACGUAUAUCUUCCAGACGAAGGGAGGAGUUGCUGGCCAGAAACUAGCUAAACAUCUGGAGAUCUUGCAAGAAGAGACAAGUGAUGUCAAUCCUAAAAGGACAGCUGUCCUAAAGGCUCUUUGCAUCUACCUGGGGGAGGACGAGGGACAGCUUGUUCUGGAGUAUAUGGCCCAGAACACAACUACUAAGAGGUCUGGCUCCUGUGCAGUGAACCCCGACCAUUCCACCGGCUCCAGAACCUGAUCCGGCCCGCUUCAGGUCCCGUCUACUCUGCUGAGGAGCUCAAGAGGAUGCUGGGAAAUCUAGUCAGCCACCGCCGAUGUCACGGGAUUGUGUAUGUGCGCAGCAGAGACAGACAGAGGAUGAAAGCUGCUGCUGCUGCAUCCACCACCUCCACCUCCAGCAGCAGCGCAGCCGCUGCAUCGGCCGCAAGCCAGAGAGCCACGAGUGCAUCACAGCCUCUUGGUCCAGCGCUUGUGGCGUUUGUCUCCAUCUGCUGUGAUGAGAUGCAGGCCCAGGUGAAGAAGCUGGUGGCCCCUAAGCCUGCAUCUACAGGCCCAGAACACAACUACUAAGAGGUCUGGCUCCUGUGCAGUGAACCCCGACCAUUCCACCGGCUCCAGAACCUGAUCCGGCCCGCUUCAGGUCCCGUCUACUCUGCUGAGGAGCUCAAGAGGAUGCUGGGAAAUCUAGUCAGCCACCGCCGAUGUCACGGGAUUGCUGCUCAGAUGAACAGACGCAGAGGAACAUCUGCUCACCUUCUCCAGACCACACUGCUGUGAGUGUCGCUGUGAACAAACGCUGCUCUUCAUGUUCACAUGAUGAGGGUUCUUCCUGCUUUUUGUUUUCCUAAAAACCAGAACACAGGUGCAGCUUCACAAAGGACCAGCAGGUGUCGCCCUAUGACCGCUCCAUGGAGUGAGAGGCGCUGUGGUCUGAAGGAAAACACAAAGUACAACUACUACUGGAAUCAACGUAUCAAUAAGUUAUCGUUGAUGUAUUCCAUAGGAGAACAUUACUCCACACCGGGGUAAAAUCAUUAAAAGGACAUUUGUUAAAUAGUUGUUGAAAGUUGGAGCAGAGGUGAAACACAUACACUAAAGAUGAAAGUUGAUUUUAAAUGACAUUAAAGUUCAUCGUUUUAUGAAUAAAUACUGUCUGAUUUCACGUGUUUUGUUCCCCAUCUUUAAACCUCGACCUUUUAAAUGUACACAUGUUAUUAUGACAGUCUGAACACACGUGUGCCGUCCUUUUUCUUUGCCUUUUGCGUUCACUGGUUACCUGGUUUUACGCGUCACGUUGCAAUGACUUGUGGGUAGGAAAGACUCGGCGGGUUGAUAAUGUGAGCGGUCUAAAGCCUCGCGCAGUUAGCGCUGUGUGUAGAUGACGCAUGCUCUGGUUUAAUGUCGAACGCUCUUCUUUUGCUGCGUGUUGGUUUUGUGUAUACGUUGUGUCCGUGUGUCUAUGAAUGUGAAUUUGAUUUCCUUUUGAGAUUUUUAAUGUUUUUUUUUACUUCAGGCUGCCUCAAAAACAUGGAAAUGAGCCUCUCUGGCUCACUACAGUGCAACUGUUGAUUAGUUUGCAUUGACCCUGCAAAGUAAAUAAAUAAAUA